UUUAUAAUAUUUGAUAUAUGGAUGUUUUAAUGCAAUAACGCAUGUACAAAACCUUUUUUUUUUUUUCUUUAAAAAAGGACAAUUUAUCUUAAAAUGUGUGCAUGUGUUUCAUGCUAAUCUGAAUCUGUGUUAUUUUAUAAUUUUCCUGUAUAUUAUCUUCAAGCUUUUGCACCGCGAUUUUGCAUGUUCCUGGGUCAACAUAUUUUGUUGAUCCCAGAACAACAUUCCUAUCUGAAAAUUUAUUCCUAACCAUAUCCCUACCCCUAAUCCUACCCAUAAAGUAUCCCUAAAAUCAGAGGGAAAUGAUAGAUGAAUAACACUGAUGUAGAAGCACCUAACCCUUGUUGUAAGCUUAAACUUAAUAUAAACUGUAAACUUGUCCCUCGAAUCUGAUUGGUUGAUUGGAAUGUUGUUUCAGGAUCAACAUGUUGUACUUGGUGAAAUCACGUUCACCAGUCCAUGACAAUGUACAAAAACAACUGGCCCAAGUCAAGUCACCUUUAUUUAUAUAGUGCUUUUUACAAUACAGAUCGUUUCAAAGCAGCUUUACAGUGAUAACAGGAAAAUAAUGCAACAAAGUUUGUUUUGGCUGUACAGCAGCUCUUGAAGAAAAUAGUGUCAUUGUCCAGCUUAAGUAAAUUCAGUGGUGAUUCAUUUCCGUUGUAAAAAUAAAUAAAUAAAUAAAUAUUAAAACUUAGUUCAUUUAUCUAUACAGCAGCUCUAGAGAAAACAGUGGUGUUGUCUUCCAGCUCAGUUCAGUUCUCAUACAACGGUAUAAUUGCAGGCAGUGCAAUAAUAUUGUUGAAUAUUAAGUGUCCCCAUCUAAGCAAGCCAGAGGUGACAGUGCAAGAAACCCAAACUCCAUCAGGUAACAGAAUGGAGAAAAACCAGGCACAGUCGGUGGUCAGUUCUUCUCUGGCCCAGCAACAAGACUACUGCAACCAUAUUGCAGUAAGUUUUCACUACAGUCGAUAAAUGAGAUGCAAGAUGGCGUAAGUUGCAUUUAUGUGAAACAAGAGAGAGCGAGUCCGCGGUGUAAACGAGAAUAGUGCCGAUUUCUGUUACCCCGAUGAGAUACACAGCACUGGAAACGGGCCAUUGACAACAGCAAAUUUUAGGAAAUAUCUGACCACCGAAUAUCAGUGAUGUCAGAAUAGACAUCAAGACACUGAUUCAACAGAAGAAUAAUUUGUAUUUGAUUUCACCAUCCUUACUACUCUCCAUGCAGAAAUCAUUAAUAGCCUGUGGUGUGAUGUCACGGUAAGGAAGUUUCAGCAGGUAUUACUCAGCAAAGUCUUCUGCCGUUCCUGUCUUGGGAUCGUGGGAUUCCCCUUAUUUCCUCAUAGUCUAAGCAGCUAAAAACGGAAAGUUAAGGGGUUUUACUCCUUUUGUGUGUGUUGCAUUCCAACGCUUACUGAAUUGCAAGUCAUUGCAUGUGACUUUAUAAAAUCCAGACUUUCCGACUGUUUUUUCUCUUCCUUAUUUUGUAUAAUGUAACCUCAUUAUUAACGUCUUUUUUUUCUUUUUUUUUUUUAGAAAAAUAACUAAUCAAAGCUAAUUACCCUAAAUCUGUUGUCUACUCUAAAUAGUGUUCAUGAGAUAUAUUACAAAUGAAUGUAAAGCACAUUGAGACCUUUGUGCAGCAUUCAAAUAGAAGAUAAUGCCACAAGAUCAAGAACCCAGCAUUGCAUCAGAGUUGUAACUGUAACCACGCUGAUAUUUUUAGAGCAAUGAUCAGUAUGGCAGUAUGGAAAUUUAAUGUGAGGUGUUUCUGUGUUACUGUAGCGUUUUGACGACAUGGCAGUCGCAUGUGACCUACUCUGUCAAAGGAGUACUUCUGAGAAAUGCUCUGCUUUAAACUAAACAAGAAGUAUGAGCUUUUUCAGAGAAAGUAUACUGUUCAGCUAAUGUAUCAUGUUCAAGACAGAAGUUUGUCUCCCAUCAAAGUACUGUGCUGUAAAAGUAUUUUCACUCUAGUAUUUGUUUCAUGCAUGUGCUUUAAUAAAAUUCAAUGCAGACAGUCGAGUGAAUCUGAUUUUGUAAUUCAUAGGCUAUUUGAUUCUCAGAUGGGAAAGUACAUGACGUGAUUGACUUUAUCUCAUCAUUCCUUUUUUCAGAGCAUAUCUGUCAUUGUGAGAAUAUAGGGUAAGAACCUGGAAGAAAAAAAAAUGUAUGUUUGCUUGAACUAUAUGUUUUAGCAAAGAAAUCGCAUCAGAUGAACAGGAAUUUUUUAUCAUUGAUUGCAUUGUACAUAUAUCACAGCAUUUCAAUUAAAUGAAUGUAUAAAUUGUGUCUCCAGAUUUUCAGACAUAAUGUAGGUAAAAGCAGAUGAUUUUUAGAGAUUUAAUUACUGCAAGAUUAUAAUCAUCACAGGAUCAGGACUUUGGCUCUAUAUUUGAUUCGUGGGCUGCUGUGUUUCCAACGUGAUCUCAUGAGAAUACGUGUAGCCUAUAUUUUUACGUAAAGUGUGGCACCACACGUACAUUUACUUAGGCCUACGUUUUCACACACACAAAAACGUACAACAUUGACGCAUUUAUAGCACUAAAACGUAAAAAUGCUUACGUAUUAACGGCAAUGAAACGUAAAUUAUGUAACGUAAAGUGUGAAUGAAUUCCAUGUAUUAAUAUUAAAAUCGUGGCAUUAAUGUUUUAAAUCCGUUGCAUUCAAUUGUCAUAUCAAUACAUGUUCUUAGUCGAAUUUAUUGAAUGCAGUUUACUCACAUACUUAAUAUGAAAAUAACAUUUCUGUUCGUGACUUGUGCUGCAGACUCGUUUCGUAGGACAUAAUGUUAAACAAGACUACAAUUUGAAACCUUAUGAAUAAAAUUUCUGUAACGUUAAUUGUUUAACCAUUUUGUAACAUUUAGUUUGUUUGAUGUGCGACACAGAAGGCGUUUUCUGCUAUGCAGCGACUGACAAUACAACCAUAAGAUAGCCUACACCAAAGCACAACAAUUCACAAAUCACAUCCAUUUUAUUUGUUCGCUGUACUCCAUAUCUUUAGAAUCCAUAUGUUUGUAAGGAACAGAUCCGAAUUCAGCCCUUUAGUCAUCAAUCUUCAUCUACAUUUUCAGCAGCAGUGACCGUCAAAGCCCACGCUCGUUAUGAUUCAAAUUUGAAAGUAGCACCAGAGAUCGUAUUAUUAUAGUGAGAUAAGAGGGUCGGUAUCGGGUGUGCCUCAUACGUCCCCCCUACAAUAACCAACUGCAGAACCGCAGAACCAAACGUCAUGACAGUCUGAGGACGACAGCGCCAGACUAACAGCCUGAUGCCGGAAGUGGGCGGAGUAACAGUCUUACACCGGAUGUGGGCGGAGUUAGCGACAAACAAACAAUGGCGGAAGAAAAGCACACGGAGCCACGUAUCACAGAAGACCUCUGUGGUGCACUUGCAUGGCUGCACAACAACCAAAAGUCUUCAAGCGUUUAGUGGAAGAGCUGUGCUUUCUGAUAUUGAAAGAGGAAGACCAGGGAAAAGCCCUUCUUCAACUUUCACAGGCUGAAACGGAUGAUGACAGACCACUGGCCAAAGAGCCUUUAGUGUUUUGCUUACAAAUUAAGGAUGAUAUGGACAUUUUAUGGACUUAAUGAGUGUCUGGACAAAAAGAGUCUUGUAAUUAAUUGCAUGUUUAUGGAGAUUUUAUUAUUAUUAUUUUUUUUAAAGAUUUAAUUUGUCAUCAUGUACCUGCUGUUCAAUUUACACUCUUUGGUUUGAUUUUGUAAUUUUUUAGAGCAAAGCACAGCUAGUAGCUAUAUACUGCUUUUGCUACUUAGGGGGAAAAGUACAUUUUAUUAAAAUUAAAUAAAUAACUUUUGUUUUUGGGUUUGAUGGAUCUGAAUUUGCUUAAUUCAUGCAAUCUAGUGUACAACUGUGUAAUGUGUAUUAUAUAUUAUGAAAAACAAUGGUUCAUUAUGAAAUGCUUGAGUAAAAUAUACAUUUUAUGACAAAUUAAUAAAUGUUUAUAAUUUUUAGUGUUUAA